AUUGCUAAUUGACUUCUCUGGUGACAGACAAAGAGUUCGGAGGAGGGAAGGAUUGCUCCCAGUUGGGAAUGGAAUCUAAGAAGGCUUCCUGGAGGAAGUAGCAUCUAAGACUUGAAGACCAGAAAGGAUUUAAAGACAAGAAGAUGGGAGGAAGGAAGACCAGGAAAUGGCAAGGAGAGGAAACAACACAAAGGCUGGAAGGACAGAAGACGAGGAAGAAGUGCUCGUGGGGUUUCCAAGAGGAAACGCUCAGCAAUAAGCAGGCUCUUCAAACCUGAGACGGCUAGCACUGCUGGAAGGAUGCCAGAGACACGCAGAGGACAGCCAAGGUGUUCCAGCUGAGGCCAUCGUAGAUCAGUCAUCCCCAACCAACCCACCAACUAUUACAGAUGUAUGAGCGAGCCCAGGGAAGGUCAGCCAGGUCCGUCCCAGAUCAGCAAGACCACUCAGCCCUACCCCCCAGACUUAUGUGAAAUAAUAAAUACUUGCUAUUUUAA